rnacentral:pre_miRNA from 1 species
UAAUGAUGAUGAUGAUGAUGAUGGUGGUGAUGAUGAUGAUGACGAUGGUCAUGGUUAUGAUCAUUGUCGUAUUCAUCGUUCUCGUCAUCACUAUCAUCAUCUUCAUCACCG